rnacentral:rRNA from 1 species
CAGCAGCCCGGUAAUACCAGCUCUCCGAGUGGUGUGGAUGUUUAUUGGGCCUAAAGCAUCCGUAGCUGGCUAGGUUAGUCCCCUGUUAAAUCCACCGAAUUAAUCGUUGGAUUGCGGGGGAUACUGCUUGGCUAGGGGACGAGAGAGGCAGACGGUAUUUCCGGGGUAAGGGUGAAAUCCUAUAAUCCCGGGAAGACCACCAGUGGCGAAGGCUGUCUGCUAGAACGCGCCCGACGGUGAGGGAUGAAAGCUGGGGGAGCGAACCGGAUUAGAUACCCGGGUAGUCCCAGCUGUAAACGAUGCAGACUAGGUGUUUGGACGGCCACGUGCCGUUCUAGUGCCGCAGGGAAGCUGUUAAGUCUGCCGCCUGGGGAGUACGAUCGCAAGAUUGAAACUCAAAGGAAUUGACGG